GACGAACGCUGGCGGCGUGCUUAACACAUGCAAGUCGAACGGUGAAGCGCCUUCCUUUUUGGUGGGUGUGGAUGAGUGGCGAACGGGUGAGUAACACGUGAGUAACCUGCCCCCUUCUUCUGGAUAACCGCAUGAAAGUGUGGCUAAUACGGGAUAUUCUGGUUCUGUCGCAUGAUGGGUCUGGGAAAGAUAUUGUUUCGGUGGGGGAUGGGCUCGCGGCCUAUCAGCUUGUUGGUGGGGUGAUGGCCUACCAAGGCGGUGACGGGUAGCCGGCCUGAGAGGGUGGACGGUCACACAGGGAAUGAGACACGGCCCAGACUCCUACGGGAGGCAGCAGGGGGGAAUAUUGAACAAUGGGCGCAAGCCUGAUGCAGCGACGCCGCGUGAGGGAUGGAGGCCUUCGGGUUGUGAACCUCUUUCGCCAGUGAAGCAGGCCUGCCUCGUUUGUGGGUGGGUUGACGGUAGCUGGAUAAGAAGCGCCGGCUAACUACGUG
rnacentral:rRNA from 1 species